UGGGGAAUCUUGCACAAUGGGCGAAAGCCUGAUGCAGCAACGCCGCGUGCGGGAAGAAGGCCCUAGGGUUGUAAACCGCUUUCAGCAGGGAAGAAAAUGACGGUACCUGCAGAAGAAGGUGCGGCCAACUACGUGCCAGCAGCCGCGGUGACACGUAGGCACCAAGCGUUGUCCGGAUUUAUUGGGCGUAAAGAGCUCGUAGGCGGUUCGGUAAGUCGGGUGUGAAAACUCAGGGCUCAACUCUGAGAUUGCACCCGAUACUACUGUGACUAGAGUGCGGUAGGGGAGCGGGGAAUUCCUGGUGUAGCGGUGAAAUGCGCAGAUAUCAGGAGGAACACCAGUGGCGAAGGCGCCGCUCUGGGCCGUAACUGACGCUGAGGAGCGAAAGCAUGGGUAGCAAACAGG
rnacentral:rRNA from 1 species